rnacentral:rRNA from 1 species
UACGUAGGGUGCAAGCGUUGUCCGGAAUUACUGGGUGUAAAGGGUUCGUAGGCGGUGUGGCAAGUCGGGAGUGAAAUUUCUGGGCUCAACUCAGAGACUGCUUCCGAAACUGCUGUGCUUGAGUGUGGGAGAGGCGCGUGGAAUUGCAGGUGUAGCGGUGAAAUGCGUAGAUAUCUGCAGGAACACCCGUGGCGAAAGCGGCGCGCUGGACCACUACUGACGCUGAGGAACGAAAGCUAGGGGAGCAAACAGG